ACCGACAGGCUACCAUUUGAAGAUGAAGAAAAUAUGUAUGCUAAUUGGAAAUGGUUCAAGUUUGAUAGGGAUAAUGUAAACAUGGAAUAACCCUCAUCACUAAAAAUGUAUCGAACUGUAUAUCCUUUCGGCACGUCUUUAGGUCAUUAGAUAGCAUCCAUGACAAAGUACCAUUGUUCAAAAUCCCAGUUAUGUUCUUUACUGAACUG
rnacentral:misc_RNA from 1 species